AUUGAACGCUGGCGGCAGGCCUAACACAUGCAAGUCGAGCGGAUGAAGGGAGCUUGCUCCUGGAUUCAGCGGCGGACGGGUGAGUAAUGCCUAGGAAUCUGCCUGGUAGGGGGGGAUAACGUCCGGAAACGGGCGCUAAUACCGCAUACGUCCUGAGGGAGAAAGUGGGGGAUCUUCGGACCUCACGCUAUCAGAUGAGCCUAGGUCGGAUUAGCUAGUUGGUGGGGUAAAGGCCUACCAAGGCGACGAUCCGUAACUGGUCUGAGAGGAUGAUCAGUCACACUGGAACUGAGACACGGUCCAGACUCCUACGGGAGGCAGCAGUGGGGAAUAUUGGACAAUGGGCGAAAGCCUGAUCCAGCCAUGCCGCGUGUGUGAAGAAGGUCUUCGGAUUGUAAAGCACUUUAAGUUGGGAGGAAGGGCAGUAAGUUAAGACCUUGCUGUUUUGACGUUACCAACAGAAUAAGCACCGGCUAACUUCGU
rnacentral:rRNA from 1 species